AGGCAGGCCUGAUGAACAAAGCGCAGGGUCCCUGUGCAGCGACAUGGUGUGAUGAGGGGACUUUCAUCAUCGCCCUCACAGUGACAGAUCCUGACAGGAAGGACAGCAAGACUUUCUGUCUGUUGAUUGUGUGAGCACUCCUCUACCUGAAUAUUUCAGAAUAUGCGAGAUCAUGAAUUUGAAGAAAAACUCACCACAGAUCAUGAAUCAAUUAGGUGCAACGACCUGUUCUGAAAACCAGAAACUAUGGCCUAUACUGAAUUGGUAGUAAUGCUGCCUAAAUGACCAUAUUAACACUGGCUGUUCAAAGCGCAUCUCCACUGACAGUGAGCCUGGGGGCACACACUUGUCAAAAGCUUUCAACUUUCCUCAGUUAAACAUGUCUGCCUGGAAAGUUUGCAUGCACACCCAAAAGGCUCAUCCUUGAAAAGAAAGCCUGACAAACAGUGCCUGAGUAAUUAUAAUAAAAUUCAAUGGGUCAAGAAGACAGAUAAAAGACAAGUCCACUUUUCAUCUCAAAGCAAAGUCAAAGUUUGGUGACUUGGGCAACAGUUAGGAUUAAUCUACAUGAGACAAUUACAAAACUUUAAUUUUUAUCUAUUUAUAGAUAUUACAAAACUUUAAUAUAUAUAUAUAAAAAACACUGUACAGUGAAGCCCAUAUAAAGACCCAUGCUGAAUAUUUUUUUCAGGUUUUAGGUAGCUUAGAUUCUUAAUAAUUAUUA